UUCUCAUAGGUCUUUCAACAGCCUAAAACACAGGAGGAGGUUUGCCAACUAAGUAUCAAUAUCAUGCAGGUUUUUAUAUACUGUCUGGAACAAUUGAGCACCAAGCCUGAUGCAGAUGUAGAUACCACACAAUCCAAAUCUUCAUUUGAAUAUUGAGGAAUUAAACCAAGAGUUUAUGGUGAAAAGUGAAAAACUUUACGAUGCCCUCAUGAAUUGUCAC